rnacentral:lncRNA from 1 species
AACCGAAGGUUUAAGCUAGUGUUUCCUGCUGAGGGUUUGAAGGGAGAAGGGGGGUUGUGUUAACAGGCAGUGGAGGAUAGAUAGGGGCGUAAGGUGGCGGGAUGGGUUUACAAGCCUCAGGAGAGGGCAGUUGUGGACGAGAAUACGUGCAAGCAAUACUAGAAUUGUCCUGAGGGGGGAUGGUGUAGGAAAAGAAGUGGAUACAGCUGACUGGGAAGAUGGCGGCUGGGAAGAUGGCAACUGAGAAGACAAUGAGGAGGCUUUCGGGGUUAAAGAAGGCAGUUGAGAGGAAAAGGGUCUUGCUGUGCCACUCAGGCUAGAGUACACUGGUGUGAUCUCAGCUCACUGCAGCCUUGACCUCUGGGUUCAAGUGAUCCUCCCAUCUUGGCCUCCCAAUGUGCUGGAAUUACAGGCAGGAACCACUGAUUUACAAUCUUCUAAUAAGAGUCUUUAUCUUAAAGAUAUUUGUUUCCUGUGUUUGAGAAUUAAAAUGCUGGCUUUUUGCUGAAUAAAA